CGUCUUACGGGACGCAGCAGUAGGGAAUUUUCGUCAAUGGGCGCAAGCCUGAACGAGCGAUGCCGCGUGAGUGAAGAAGGCCUUCGGGUCGUAAAGCUCUGUUGCGGGGGAAAAAAGGCAGCAUCAGGAAAUGGGUGCUGACUGAUGGUGCCCCGCCAGAAAGUCACGACUAACUACGUGCCAGCAGCCGCGGUAAUACGUAGGUGGCGAGCGUUAUCCGGAAUGAUUGGGCGUAAAGGGUGCGCAGGCGGUCCUGCCAGUCUGGAGUGAAAAGCCUGAGCUCAACUCAUGCAUGGCUUUGGGAA
rnacentral:rRNA from 1 species